UGGGAGUUUGUAUAUACUACAGACAGAAGUAAGAUCUGUUCUGUUAUUAAAACUCCCUAGAAUAAUGUAUGCCUUUUGAUGACCGGGGCGAAAUGAGAGAAAUCGUAACGGACAGAUACGGGGCAGACAAUG